GAUGAACGCUGGCGGCGUGCUUAACACAUGCAAGUCGAACGAAGCAUUUGCGACAGAUUUUUUCGGAAUGAAGUUGCUUAUGACUGAGUGGCGGACGGGUGAGUAACGCGUGGGUAACCUGCCUUGUACUGGGGGAUAGCAGCUGGAAACGGCUGGUAAUACCGCAUAAGCGCACAAUGUUGCAUGACAUGGUGUGAAAAACUCCGGUGGUAUAAGAUGGACCCGCGUCUGAUUAGCUAGUUGGUGAGAUAACAGCCCACCAAGGCGACGAUCAGUAGCCGACCUGAGAGGGUGACCGGCGACAUUGGGACUGAGACACGGCCCAGACUCCUACGGGAGGCAGCAGUGGGGAAUAUUGCACAAUGGAGGAAACUCUGAUGCAGCGACGCCGCGUGAGUGAAGAAGUAAUGCGUUAUGUAAAGCUCUAUCAGCAGGGAAGAUAGUGACGGUACCUGACUAAGAAGCUCCGGCUAAAUACGUG
rnacentral:rRNA from 1 species